AGUGAACGCUGGCGGUAGGCCUAACACAUGCAAGUCGAACGGCAGCACAGUAAGAGCUUGCUCUUACGGGUGGCGAGUGGCGGACGGGUGAGGAAUACAUCGGAAUCUACUUUUUCGUGGGGGAUAACGUAGGGAAACUUACGCUAAUACCGCAUACGACCUACGGGUGAAAGCAGGGGAUCUUCGGACCUUGCGCGAUUGAAUGAGCCGAUGUCGGAUUAGCUAGUUGGCGGGGUAAAGGCCCACCAAGGCGACGAUCCGUAGCUGGUCUGAGAGGAUGAUCAGCCACACUGGAACUGAGACACGGUCCAGACUCCUACGGGAGGCAGCAGUGGGGAAUAUUGGACAAUGGGCGCAAGCCUGAUCCAGCCAUACCGCGUGGGUGAAGAAGGCCUUCGGGUUGUAAAGCCCUUUUGUUGGGAAAGAAAAGCAGCAGGUUAAUACCCCGCUGUUCUGACGUUACCCAAAUAAUAAGCACCGGCUAACUUCGUG
rnacentral:rRNA from 1 species